AUUGAACGCUGGCGGCAUGCUUUACACAUGCAAGUCGAACGGUAACAGGCCGCAAGGUGCUGACGAGUGGCGAACGGGUGAGUAAUGCAUCGGAACGUGCCCAGUCGUGGGGGAUAACGCAGCGAAAGUUGUGCUAAUACCGCAUACGAUCUAUGGAUGAAAGCGGGGGACCGUAAGGCCUCGCGCGAUUGGAGCGGCCGAUGUCAGAUUAGGUAGUUGGUGGGGUAAAGGCCCACCAAGCCAACGAUCUGUAGCUGGUCUGAGAGGACGACCAGCCACACUGGGACUGAGACACGGCCCAGACUCCUACGGGAGGCAGCAGUGGGGAAUUUUGGACAAUGGGCGCAAGCCUGAUCCAGCAAUGCCGCGUGCAGGAAGAAGGCCUUCGGGUUGUAAACUGCUUUGUACGGAACGAAACGGUCUGGGUUAAUACCCUGGGCGUAAAUGACGGGUACCGUAAGAAUAAGCACCGGCUAACUACGUG
rnacentral:rRNA from 1 species